rnacentral:snRNA from 1 species
UUCCAUGCCAGCGCACAGGGAGAUGCCAUGAUCAUGAAGGUGGUUUUCCCAGAGGGAGGCUUAGGCUUAUCCAUUGUGAUCUGGAUGUGCUGACCCCUACGAUUUCCCCAAAUGUGGGAAACUCAGCUGCCUAAUUCGUGGUCGUGGGGGCUGUGUUUGUGCUUUAUCCUA